rnacentral:rRNA from 1 species
CGGACCCGACUGCUAUCAGGGUGAGACUAAGCCAUGCGAGUCCACACUCUGGACUACGACAGAGUGUGGCGCACGGCUCAGUAAUACACGGUCAACCUACCCUUAGGACGCGGAUAACCGCGGGAAAGGUGAGCUGUAAUCUCACACCCCUCAAUAUUUAAUUUCUCCCAAUAAUUAUCACACUACAGCUCACCCCCGAGACUGCGGAUAAUCCGCGAUAGGAGAGAAUGCCUGGGAUGGUUUCUCUCCGAAAGGGCUUCAGAGUCAUGCCCUCUGAAGCCGCCUAAGGAUGGGACCGUGCCCGAUCAGGUAGUUGGUGGGGUAACGGCCCACCAAGCCUAGGACCGGUGCGGGCCGUGAGAGCGGGAGCCCGGAGAUGGACCCUGAGACAAGGGUCCAGGCCCUACGGGGCGCAGCAGGCGCGAAAACUCCGCUAUGCGCGCAAGCGCGACGGGGUCACCCUGAGUGCCGCUCGCUGAGAGCGGCUUUUCCCCCAGUCUAAACAGCUGGGGGAAUAAGGGGAGGGCAAGUCUGGUGUCAGCCGCCGCGGUAAUACCAGCUCCCCGAGUGGUCGGGGCGAUUAUUGGGCCUAAAGCGUCCGUAGCCGGCCUAGUAAGUCUCCUGUUAAAUCCAGCGAUCCAAUCGCUGGGUUGCAGGAGAUACUGCUAGGCUAGGGGGCGGGAGAGGCUGGCGGUAUUCCCGAGGGAGGGGCGAAAUCCCGAGAUCUCGGGAGGACCACCAGUGGCGAAGGCGGCCAGCUAGAACGCGCCCGACGGUGAGGGACGAAAGCCGGGGGAGCGAACCGGAUUAGAUACCCGGGUAGUCCCGGCCGUAAACGAUGCGGGCUAGGUGUCAGGUCAACUACGAGUUGACCUGGUGCCGAAUGGAAGCAAAUAAGCCCGCCGCCUGGGGAGUACGGCCGCAAGGCUGAAACUUAAAGGAAUUGGCGGGGGAGCACACAAGGGGUGGAUGCUGCGGUUUAAUUGGAGUCAACCCCGGGAACCUUACCAGGGGAGACAGCAGGAUGAAGGCCAGAUUGAAGGUCUUGCCGGACGAGCUGAGAGGAGGUGCAUGGCCGUCGCCAGCUCGUGCCGUGAGGUGUCCUGUUAAGUCAGGCAACGAGCGAGACCCCCGCCCCUAGUUGCUACCAGAACUCGGAAGGGUUCUGGGCACUCUAGGGGGACUGCCGCCGAUAAGGCGGAGGAAGGAGGGGGCUACGGCAGGUCAGUAUGCCCCGAAUCCCCUGGACCACACGCGGUAUACAAUGGCAGGGACAAUGGGUUGCCACCCCGAAAGGGGGAGCUAAUCCCCAAACCCUGCCUCAGUUGGGAUCGAGGGUUGCAACCCACCCUCGUGAACCCGGAAUCCCUAGUAAUCGCGCGUCACCAACGCGCGGUGAAUAC